GAUUUUACAAACAGCUCAUAAAAUCCCCAGAUACUUAGCAAUAAGUAUUCUGGUGAGAGCUGACUUGGGCACAUCAUUGCUUCUAAUUGAUACCUCUGCUCUAACCUAAUGCCUCUCUAAUGCAUACUUCUAGAAUUGUUACCAUAAUACCUUUUUUUUUUGGCUAAAGUGUCAAUGUGAUCAGACAUUCUUCUGCAUAAAAUCUUUAGGUUUUAUCUGUUUUUCACAAUGAAUUUUCUAUUUCUUCCUAAUUUCUUUAAAUACUUUAUUACUUAGCACAAGUAUUAUAAUCCUUUUGAAUGUUCCUUUGAAGCUUAUAAGAAUACUAUUUCCUUAAUAUCAUUAAAAACUCUUUUACUUAGAAAUGAGUGCAAGGACAUUG
rnacentral:lncRNA from 1 species